rnacentral:tRNA from 1 species
GGUAAUGUGGGCGAGGGCGUCCGGCUUCACCUUUUUGAAAUCAAACACUUAUAAUUGCUGACAGCACUCAUAAUGCUGGGGUCGGCGGUUCGACUCCGCCCCUUGCUA